GAUUAUAUUUUGAAACCGAAACCGAAAAUUUGUACUUUUGGAAACCAAAACUGAAAAACUAUACCUCUUUUGUUUUCGGUCUGGUUUUGGUCCAUUUUUGAGUGUUUCGGUAAUUUUUGUACACCCCUACUUUUGGCAUCCGUCCACUACUCUUGCAACUAUGGAACAAAAGAAGUUCUUAGUAGACCGUUAGUGGCCUCAUGUAUCUUCUCUUUGCUUAAGUCCUCUAAUUUAAUCUUUUCUCUAACGAAAGGAAGGAGUUGCAUAAAGGAUUAGUCUGUUUUAUAAUCUUACUUUUUGUAGUUUAUAUAAUUUCUUUUUUAAAGUCUAUCAUGAUUUCAUUUUUUUUCCUUUGACAAGCAUUGCUCUAUUUUGGAAAAUUCAUAUGGAUCUCAGUUUUAAUGACAUCAAAUGCUUUGAUCAAGUUCGUGUGAGCCUUAGAUACACUAAGCUCUUAUCCAUUUUUGGUACAUUGAAUGGAAUGGAAUGGGAGGAAAAAUUACGUAAUGAAUAUUGAUGCAAAAAUUAGCCUAGGUAGGACUUCGAUCCUUGCACCAAUAGUCGUUCGGCAUCCAUACACUACCCUUGCAAUUAUGGAACAAAAGAAGAGCUUAGGAGACCCUCGGUGGCCUCAGGAUUUGAAGAUGAGGAAGAUGAUUGGUGGAGGGCGUGAAGCUAGUGGACUCUUUUACUUGAGUCGAUAUCUCCUUCUACUGCUUGCACUAUUGCUACCACACCUUUCCAAUUCAUUGUUGCUUGGGUCAUCCUUUAUUGGAAAAUUUAAACUAUCUUGUUCCUAGUUUGAGUUUUGUGGGCACUUGUUAGUUGGAAAAGCACCAUUGUGUUUCUAUCACUUUUUCAAGUCAAUAAACAGGUUGCAAGCCCUUUUAUGUUAGUUCAUUCAAAUGUAUGGGGUCCUAGUAGGGUUGUGUCUAAGUUGGAUUUCCAAUACUUUGUAACAUUUAUGGAUGAUUAUUCAAAAAUGACUUGGUUAUAUUUAAUAAAAUAUCGCUUUGAGUCA